rnacentral:rRNA from 1 species
AGCAGCCGCGGUAAUUCCAGCUCCAAUAGCGUAUAUUAAAGUUGUUGCGGUUAAAAAGCUCGUAGUUGAAUUUCGGGGUUAGUAGGUUGGUCAUGCCUCUGGUAUGUACUGGUCUCACUGAUUCCUCCUUCCUGAUGAACCGUAAUGCCAUUAAUUUGGUGUUGCGGGGAAUUUGGACUGUUACUUUGAAAAAAUUAGAGUGUUUAAAGCAGGCUCACGCUUGAAUACAUUAGCAUGGAAUAACGAAAUAGGACGUUUGAUUCUAUUUUGUUGGUUUCUAGGAUCGACGUAAUGAUUAAUAGGGAUAGUUGGGGGCAUUAGUAUUCAAUUGUCAGAGGUGAAAUUCUUGAAUUUAUUGAAGACUAACUACUGCGAAAGCAUUUGCCAAGGAUGUUUUCAUUAAUCAAGAACGAAAGUUAGGGGAUCGAAGACGAUCAGAUACCGUCGUAGUCUUAACCAUAAACUAUGCCGACUAGGGAUCGGAUGAUGUUAAUUUUUUAAUGUACUCAUUCGGCGCCUUAC